GGGACGCAUAGUUAAGGUGCCAGGACAUCCUGGAAGCUGGGAAAUGUGUGAAGAUUUCUUCCAGACCAUGGCUGGAGAAGGAAAGAAGGUGUGUUUUGCCUGAUUCAGGGACUAUAGAGAGAACCAAGUUCUGCAGGCCUGUCACCUAAGUAUCAGGUGAGUAUGAAUUCUCUUGUGUUUUUGGCAGAUUGUUGCAGUGUCAGGACCAAGGUCAAAUGAGUUAUAGCCAAGUCUACAGUAAGAUGUGGCAGUAUUCUGUUUUGAAGCCGGGACCAGGAUUGGCAAGCUUGCCACUUGGUAAAGUGCUCACCCUCUGAAGAUGUCUUCCUUGGUCUUUGCCUCCAGCUGGGUGUCACAAACUCUGAACUGGAUUCCAAGGCUUUCAUGAAUGCACUUAUGUUUGCUGUGGCAGCUGCAUUAUGUCGUGGGGGAUGUGGAUGCAGAACCUCACAUUCUGUCGUCUUGCUUAUGUUACUCUCCUUUAUGUUUCACUUUCUCAAAUGAAUGUCAAGCAGGUGAUUUUCAGAUUCAAAAGUUCUAAAAUAAAUUGCUCAAAUUUACACAUUAUGUAAGCUGUUAAUAAAAUUUCUUGUAGGUGCU
rnacentral:lncRNA from 1 species